rnacentral:lncRNA from 1 species
ACUUAUAAAACGUAAAGAGAAUACAAAAUGAAAAAAACUCCGUAUUUUGAAACUGACGAAGAGAAUAGAAAGAAGUGAAGUCAAAACUCGUCAACUUGAAACAUGGCUAAGGACACAGGAAGCAGGUAGCGCUAAAUCAGUGUCAGAACUCUGAAGUAUUCAUGGUUCCUUUGCUGUCUGAUCAAGCAGACUAUCUCUCUCUUCUCCACUUUCUCUUUCCAUUACUUGUAGAUUCUGCUUUAAAUAGGUUGCAAGGGGAAAAGGGACAAAACAAGUCCAAGGUAAGCCUUUACUCAUUUUGUCUACGAAAUUGCCAUUACCAGUUUAAUCUGAUUUUUUGUUUGUUUCCUUAUAUUUUGGAUUUGUUUAGACUGAAAUAAAUCUGGGUUUCUUUCUUUCUUUUGUUUUUCAUUUAGAAGUGUUAAAAGAGGUUGCUUUAUAUGAGUCUAUUGAGUUUAUAUACUUGAUGAUUUCUCAUUUUUCAAUGUUUGUGUUUCUUACUUCUGUGUGCUGUAAUUGUUCCAUGUAAAAUUAUUUGUCAAGAAGAAUGAGAGAAAUAAAUAGGAGAAGAAUAAUAAACAUGGUUCCUCAUUUUAUGGAAUUUGUUUUGAGAACCCAGCAGAUUUAAAACAAAAAAGAAAGGUUGGGACUUGGAAGUUGGAAGCAAUGAAUCGUAAAAGAUGGAUUUCUUUCUUUCUUUUGUUGAAGUUAGUUCCUUUAGCAAUUGUGGGAAGGUGUUCUUUGCCUGAUGAUUCAUGUUGCUUGUUCCACAAACAAAAUGUGAAUGCGGAUGGGCAGCUGAGGAAUUUGUGGGUUUGAUGUCGCAUAUUUGAAAAUGUAGUUGUUUUUGGAUGAAAUUUUGAUUUGUUGAUUGAAUAGAUGAUAAUUGACUAAGGGAAGUCAUCAACGGGGAAUUGUUUCAAUGUCUCAUAUUUGUUUGUAAGUCAAACGAUUUUACUCAGGUGGCAUGUGAUUUUGACUUUUGAUCAAUUGAGUGGUGACAAAAGUUCUAUAUUAGGUUGAAUUUCCUGUCAUUUUCGUGGUUUCUUUUUAAUAUAUUUCAAACCAUUUUAGAGUGGUUAGGGUAGUUUCUGGUCUUUAGGAAUGAAGGAUCUGUUGUGGCAAACUGAAAUGCCCUUGCAUAAGUUGUACUAAUACCUUAAAGACCAAAUCCAACUAAAGUGAUGCCUUUUGUUGAUUUGGACUUUGGAGGUAUUUCCUUUUAAUUGACUAAAAAGAGGGUUUUUGGUGCAUGUUAUGAAGCCACUCUAUUGAACAAUAAGCUGAUUGCCGUAAGAUGUGUUAUGGUUACAGAGCUGAUCACUUGCCUUAAAGUUUCUGGCGGCGAUAGGUUGUUGAGAGUUGAGACUAAAUUACUUUUGCUUCUUGGGCACAAGAAGUCAAAAGAAUGACAAGUUUGGAUUUGUCAAUGUUUCAUAUAUUUCCAAUGUUGUUCACUUUCUCAUUAUCUCUGACAUACAAGAGUGUUAUCUGCUCUUGUGUAUACUUUUACAGAGUAGUAGAAGGUGUGGAACACACUUUUACAUUUAGAAGAAGUAUUGGAACACGAUUGACUCAUUUUCUCUUGAAAAGAAACUCAUUUUGCUGGUAGCAUUGAGGACAAAGUCAAAGCCAUUGCUUCUUUUCUCUGCUGAGAAAAGUAGAAGAAGGGAGCAUAAAGGUGUUAGUACUGCACUGCAAAAUGUUAUAUGUCAUGUUGACCUAAUACCGACAAAAGGAGCAUGCAACUAUAUAAAAAGCCAGAUCAUAUGGAAUUUUUUAGACAGACCAUGUUAGUGGUGAAUAAUCUCAAAAAUGAUCUUAUGCAGGAAGUAAAGGUACCCUUCCAUAUGAUUAAUGUUAUAUCUAGAAUUUUUCUGGCACUUUUCAAAGCUUGCUUGAUGGUUUAGCAUUAUGUAGUGUGUAGAUACGGAGCUGAUGACAUAGACAGAUAGAUAUAAAGAUGUAUGCAAUUGUACAGUAUGCUGAUUAUACAAAUUCUGACAUCUAGCUCAGUUAUACAUUUUGCUGGCUAGAAUCUGCCAAUGAGGAACAGUUUCUUGAUUAAUGCUAUGAGUUGUAUAUGAGUGUCAAAGUGCAUGAAGCUUGGGGGUGUAUUGCUGGAUUUUAAGUGAGAGGCCUAGCCAUGAAGUUAUAUUUUUCAGUAGAUAUCUAUAGAUUUUUGGUUAGAAAAACAAGGCGGUUGAGUUUAGUUUUCAUCUUUGUCUUAACUGGUUGAUCAUGAACUAGCAGAAGAGAAAAACAUUUUAAUCUGUUGAUAGGUAGGAAGCCAAUCUAGGGCAGUGCAGGAAGGUAUGGUGUUCAGGUGGGUAAAUUUUAAUUGCAAAACGACCCAUUCUGUGGCAAAAGGAAAAAAAGAAAAGCUCUGAUCCUACUAUGAAUUGAGGUGCCAUUGAUAUUCCGGCUCCUUAUCUAUCUAUCUAUCUAUCUAUAUAUAUUUUUCUGAAUGCGGAAAAGGUUUUUAUUCGUUGUCAAGAGGAAUACAUUUAAACUUACGUAAACUGAGAGGGAAAUAGGGGUGACUUAGGAUAUACUGUCAACUUGUUUGACCUAGAAUGAUAAGCUCUGAAAUGUUAAAAACAUUAGAUUCCAUUUUCCUUUUUUUUUAUUGGUACAUACCUAUGCCAUGCAUUUAUUUUCUUCCAGACAAAAAUUCUUUUGGUGGAUACUGAAUUCAUAUUUUUAAUAAUAAAAGUUCCAGUAUUUGAAUGUUGUAUGGUUAGGCUUUGAUUAUUUCAUAUUGAUUAAAUUGAUGCACAAUAUAAUAAAUGAGAAAAAGAAAGAAAGUUGAGGUACAAUGCAAUGUGAAAGCUCCCUUUGGCUAGUUGACCUCAAUCAGGAUAACAAAUUUCAUGGGCAACUUGUCUGACAUGCAAUGUAUCCAGUAUCCAUACUUCAAAAUUUUUCUUGCCAAGCUGCAUGAAAUAGAUUUCCUGCACAGAUCUCCCCUUUUAUUUUCUCAUCUGCUAAUUUUUAUUUCCCUCUUUACUGUUUAAAGAGAAAGAGUGGUAUUUUAUUUAAUAGUCCGGUCAAACGUUGUGCCCUUACCAUUUGUUAAUUAUUUGGAAAUCUGAUCCUUGUCAUGUUCUAUUGACUUGUUUCAUAUCAUGGCUGAAAGUUUGAACAUUGGUAGGAUAUACCCCUUCUCCAAACAAAAUAAAAAGAAGGUACCUCAGAAAAUGAAUAUGCUAAUUAAGGUUAGGGAUAUGGUCAAGAGGAGGAAACUUAUGAGAUCAUAUCUACUUAUGGUUACUUUGGCCUAUUUUUCAGUAUGCUAAUUUCAAUGAAUAUUAAGUCCCUAUAGGUUGAAAAGCCACCAAGUGGUCAGCAGCUAUAAACAUGAGUGCAAAUGGAAACAAAUUAAAUUUGCAUUGAGAUAUGAUUUGUAAUAUAAGUAGCAAAUGUUUUUAAAAGACAAAAAAUGAGUAAUUAUAAGAAUUUCUGUGAGGAAAAUAAAUCUAUGAAUAGUAUUCACAAACUUUAACGAAUUGAUUACAAAAUGAAUAAGAAAGAAGCAUUUUCUAGAGAAAUUGAUGUUAGAUUAUAGGACAGGCAAGGGAUAAGGGUUCUUAUUCCAACCUUUUCAGACAGUGGUUCUUGCUUCUUUUUUUGUUUUUUUGGUUAGCUAUUGUUUGCUUGGGUGCCUUUUAGAUUUACUGCUAAUAGUAAGGGGAAGAGCAAUAAUUACUGACGAAACAAAACCACUUCUUUGAGGUUCAUAACUCAUCGGUUGUGAUGUUGACAUUGGUAUAUGUAUGUAAGGAUAAGGCAUAAGGCAGAUGUUUCAAGAAAAGGUCCUGCCACUGCCAGAAAUAAAACAUGCCCAUCAGGUUGGUGAUAAUUCCUUCAAAAUUUCCUAAGAGUUAGUUGUUGCAUCUUGCUGGGCCGUGAAAGGAGGGAUACUUAAUGAUGAUGUGUAUCCACUUUUUAGCUUAAAACAUGGCACCAGCCUAUGAGUUUUGCAUGCAAUAGAAGGAUAUUGAAACUGUCCUUUUUGUUAUCCAUUCUUCUAAUUCCACUGUGUUGACAACACAUUGAUCUUCACAGGAAUGUAAACCAUCAAAUUCAAGCUUUCACAUGUUUAGGGGAAGAAUGAAUUCUCUUCUUCUGGAUUUUAUACGAAGUUAACACAUCAGGAACACUGCUUUCUAGUCUGAUAUAACUUCUUUGAUUGUCUCAUGAAGAGCAGAGGUCCAAAUAUUUGAUAAAAAUGUGUGGUAGGAUUCAUUUUCAAGCAUGUUGAAUUCAAUAAUAUGACUCAUGAUCUUUUUAUGCUAUUUGCAUUCACUACUUUGCUAUCUAAGUGAGGUUCCUUGUAUACUUCCGCAUUUGUCAUAAAUCUACUCAUUUUUUGGUAUUUUUUUUUAUUUUUUAUUUUUCAGUUGUCUCCAGUACAUUAAAUAGGCAUGGGAACAUUAUUGAGUUCAACAUGGAUUGACUAGACAUUGACUACUAUUGUUUGUUGGAUUAGUAACCAUUUAAGAUUUGAGAAUAAUAAUUUCUCUGAAACUUGUGUGAGCGUAAAUUUGAAAUUUCUGGAUGGUCCUCUUGAAACAGCGUUGGAAGUGAGCUGUCAUCAACUCCAUGGGCGAAAGUCUGACGGGGAAACUUGUGAAGACUUGUCAAGGUUGUGUCCUACCAGCCUAGGAUGAGCCAAAAUUCUUUGACUCUAUAAUCUCCUUUGUAAGACUUUAAUUGUGGAUUGAGCCAUUUGAUCAUCUUAAAUUCUCAAUCUGUAGAAGAAAUCAAUCACGAAUCUUGAGUUGGGAUGGUCUAUCGCUGUAUUCUGGCUUUCUCGUGCUAUUGUAACUAAAGACUACCAGCAGAGCCUUUUCAAUUUAUUAAUAUUUUAGAGCUAUGUAGAUUGAGCCUUUUCAUUUUGUUAUCAACCUUGCUCUAUAUUGCACGGUAGUUUGAUAGCCAGUAUAGGAUCUGGUCUAGUUUUGAACCUAGGUCCCUCUUGUAAAUAUCUAUUUUCUAUCAACUUUGUGCUUGGAGCUGGUAGAAGGCAAAAAUUAAUUCACUGUUGAUGGUAGUUCAUUUAAAAAUGAUAGCUGGGAAUCUUUAAGUCUAUUUUCGAAAUCCCUGGUGGCAUAUAGGCAUGCAUGAUUAAGUCUGAACAAGACUUUGGAUUAGAUAUUUAGCGAGUUUAUAAGCAGAUAGGCUGACUACUUUUUUUUGUUUGUCCUUUAUGGUUGUUGUUAUAUUUUUCUCUAAGACUGUUGCUCUGGUACUCUUUCUUCAAUUUGUCAUUUUGUUUUCUCCUGCUCCGGGUUAGUAGGUCUAGUUUAUCAGUGACAGAUACUGUGCAAAAACUGUGCGAUUUUUCCCAAGCUUCAGUUUCUUCAGAAAAAUAACCCUAUUUUACAUUAAAUGAUCUCUUUAAUUUUGCUUAUUUGCUAGCAAGUUCCCUUAACCUACAAGAGGGAAGAAGAAAUCUGCUACUUACUAAAGUUAGGUUUUGCACAAGUUUUUUGUAUUACAAUUCUUAUCAUGCCAGAAGAAGGGCUAAUUACCUACCAAUAUUGCUUCCCUCAGGUCCAGUUCCCUUGUUCCCAUGCUAAAGGAUGUUCUUCUAGAUCAUUAACCAUCUCCCAAAUGUCAUCUUCACUGCUGUCUUGGAGUUCAGAGUGGUUUCCUCCGGAAGGUGAAGUACCUGAGGAGCUUAUCUCCAUCAUUGUGGGUCUCUCAGAAGAUAUUGUAGUCCUAUUGUCAUGAAGUUGUGUUCCUCGUGGCACAGUUUCUAGCGGGCGUCUAUCA